rnacentral:tRNA from 2 species
UGCCGAUGUAGCUCAGUUGGUAGAGCACGGGUAUCGUAAACCUGGGGUCGGAGGUUCGAAUCCUCUCGUCGGCAUCC